GUGGGGAAUAUUGCACAAUGGGGGAAACCCUGAUGCAGCGACGCCGCGUGAGUGAUGAAGUAUUUCGGUAUGUAAAGCUCUAUCAGCAGGGAAGAAAAUGACGGUACCUGAGUAAGAAGCCCCGGCUAACUACGUGCCAGCAGCCGCGGUAAUACGUAGGGGGCAAGCGUUAUCCGGAUUUACUGGGUGUAAAGGGAGCGCAGACGGCGAUGCAAGUCUGAAGUGAAAUUCCAUGGCUUAACUGUGGAACUGCUUUGGAAACUGUAUUGCUAGAGUGCUGGAGAGGUAAGCGGAAUUCCCAGUGUAGCGGUGAAAUGCGUAGAUAUUGGGAAGAACACCGGUGGCGAAGGCGGCUUACUGGACAGUAACUGACGUUCAUGCUCGAAGGCGUGGGGAGCAAACAGGAUUAGAAACCCUAGUAGUCC
rnacentral:rRNA from 1 species